GGAUCCCAAUGGGGAAGGAUCCCAAUGUGGGUCCCAACGUGGAUCCCAAUGGGAGGGAUCCCAAUGGGGAGAGAUCCCAAUGUGGGUCCCAAUUGGGAUCCCAAUGUGGAUCCCAAUGGGGAGAGAUCCCAAUGGGGAGGGAUCCCAAUGUGGAUCCCAAUGUGGAGAGAUCCCAAUGGGGAGGGAUCCCAAUGUGGGUCCCAACAUGGGUCCCAAUGUGGAGAGAUCCCAAUGGGGAGGGAUCCCAAUUGGGAGAGAUCCCAAUGGGGAGGGAUCCCAAUGUGGGUCCCAAUGUGGAGAGACCCCAAUGGGGAGGGAUCCCAAUGGGGAGAGAUCCCAAUGUGGGUCCCAAUGUGGGUUCCAACAUGGAGAGAUCCCAAUGGGGAGAGAUCCCAAUGGGGAGGGAUCCCAAUGUGGGUCCCAAUGUGGAUCCCAAUGGGGAGGGAUCCCAAUGUGGAGAGAUCCCAAUGGGGAGAAAUCCCAACGUGGGUCCCAAUGUGAAGAGAUCCCAAUGGGGAGGGAUCCUAAUGUGGGUCCCAAUGUGGAGAGAUCCCAAUGUGGAGAGAUCCCAAUGGCGAGAG
ensembl:lncRNA